AGAGUUUGAUCCUGGCUCAGAUUGAACGCUGGCGGAAUGCUUUACACAUGCAAGUCGAACGGCAGCACGGGAGCUUGCUCCUGGUGGCGAGUGGCGAACGGGUGAGUAAUGUAUCGGAACGUGCCCAGUCGUGGGGGAUAACUAUCCGAAAGGAUAGCUAAUACCGCAUACGUCCUGAGGGAGAAAGCGGGGGACCUGCAAGGGCCUCGCGCGAUUGGAGCGGCCGAUAUCGGAUUAGCUAGUUGGUGGGGUAAAGGCCCACCAAGGCGACGAUCCGUAGCGGGUCUGAGAGGACGACCCGCCACACUGGAACUGAGACACGGUCCAGACUCCUACGGGAGGCAGCAGUGGGGAAUUUUGGACAAUGGGGGCAACCCUGAUCCAGCCAUUCCGCGUGAGUGAAGAAGGCCUUCGGGUUGUAAAGCUCUUUCAGCAGGAACGAAACGGUCGGCCUGAAUACGGUCGACUAAUGACGGUACCUGCAGAAGAAGCACCGGCUAACUACGUGCCAGCAGCCGCGGUAAUACGUAGGGUGCGAGCGUUAAUCGGAAUUACUGGGCGUAAAGCGUGCGCAGGCGGUGACAUAAGACAGAUGUGAAAUCCCCGGGCUCAACCUGGGAACUGCGUUUGUGACUGUGUCGCUCGAGUGUAGCAGAGGGGGGUGGAAUUCCACGUGUAGCAGUGAAAUGCGUAGAGAUGUGGAGGAACACCGAUGGCGAAGGCAGCCCCCUGGGUUUAACACUGACGCUCAUGCACGAAAGCGUGGGGAGCAAACAGGAUUAGAUACCCUGGUAGUCCACGCCCUAAACGAUG
rnacentral:rRNA from 1 species